rnacentral:tRNA from 1 species
UAAAAGAAUUAGUUAAAGUAUAACUUGAAUUUGUCGAGUUCAUAUUGCCUGUAUGGCAUUCUUUUAU